AAGUCGUAACAAGGUUUCCGUAGGUGAACCUGCGGAAGGAUCAUUAUUUGAUCUGAAUUGGCUGCAUUUGAAAAAUGCAGCCUUUUUGCUUUGUGAACUGUCUUGUACUGUUGUUUUUUUUAAUAGUUGCUUUUUUUCUUCGGAAAAAAAAAUAAAGACAACUUUCAGCAAUGGAUCUCUUGGCUCUU
rnacentral:misc_RNA from 1 species